rnacentral:tRNA from 1 species
GGGGUUAGCUCAGCUGGUUAGAGCACCUGCUUUACAAGCAGGGGGUCACUGGUUCAAGUCCAGUACUCCG